rnacentral:rRNA from 1 species
GAAGGUGUAUCUAGAAAGACAAAUUAGAGCUUGAAAAGUAAAGCAUUUCAUUUACAUUGAAAAGUAUAUUGUGUGAUUCAAUUUAAUUUGAUAAUAAAAAUUUAUUAAUUUUUUUUGUUUAAAAGUUUAUUUAAUAAAAUUAAUUUUAAAUUAAGUUUUUUUUGUAUAGUAUAUAGAUUAAAUAAUUUAUAUAAUAGUUAAUUAGUAUUGUGAAAGAAUAUUGAAAUAUGUGAAAAAGUUUUAAGUUAAAAGUAAAUUUUAUAUAUUGUACCUUGUGUAUCAGGGUUUAUUAAUUAAAAGUUAAAAAAUUUAAUUUUUCUCGAAUUUAAGAGAGUUAAUUUAUUGUUUGAUUUUUUGUUUCAUAAAAAUUUAAAAUAAUAAAUUAGAAAUGAAAUGUUAUUCGUUCUUGAAUAUAUCUAGUUUUUUAAGAAAUAAAUUAAAUUUAGAUUAUUAAUAGAUAAUUAUUUAUUUAAAUAAUGAAUUAUUAUUAAUAAUUAAUAUUUUAAGGGAUAAGCUUUAAAGUAAGUUUUAUAAUAAUUUUUUAAUUUAAAAAUUAUAGGUUUAGAAAUAGUCAUUAAUUAUAAAAAUGUUAUAAUUUAUUUUAAAUUAAGAAUAAUUUUUAUUAAUUUAAGUUUUUAUUAAAAUAAUUUUUAAAAUUAUAUAAAAAUUAAAAUAAUGAUAAAAUUAGUAUAUUUAAUUGUUUAAAAUAGAUGAAUUGAAAGGUUAAAUUAAGGAACUUGGCAAAUAAAUACUCGCCUGUUUAACAAAAACAUGUCUUUUUGAAAAUAAUUUAAAGUCUAAUCUGCCCACUGAAAAAUUUUAAAGGGCCGCGGUAUU